rnacentral:rRNA from 1 species
AGGUGCGAUCAUACCAGCACUAAUGCACCGGAUCCCAUCAGAACUCUGCAGUCAAGCGUGCUUGGGCGAGAGUAGUACUAGGAUGGGUGACCUCUUGGGAAGUCCUCGUGUUGCACUUCUUU